GCAACAUCGGUCCAAUCCUUAAAGUCAUCCUCAGUUCGGACUGGGGUCUGCAACCCGACCCCACGAAGCUGGAUUCGCUAGUAAUCGCGCAUCAGCCAUGGCGCGGUGAAUACGUUCCCGGGCCUUGUACACACCGCCCGUCAAGCCAUGAAAGCCGGGGGCGCCUGAAGUCCGUGACCGCGAGGGUCGGCCUAGGGUGAAACCGGUGAUUGGGGCUAAGUCGUAACAAGGUAAC
rnacentral:rRNA from 1 species